rnacentral:pre_miRNA from 1 species
AGAGAGAAUGCUGGGUCAUAUUGUAUGUUUAACUUUAUAAGAAACUGCCAAACUGUUUUCCAAAGUGACUGUAUAUUUUGCAUUCCCACUAGUACU